AAUUUUAAGGAUUUAAGUUAAUAGAGCUCAAUUCAAUUAAUUAGUUACAGCAUUAGGGUUUACAGUGUAAAAUAUCCACUAUACUUUAAUUUAAUCUCAAAACAGACUAAAUAUAAAAGAAAUUCUAAGAUUUUAACUUUAAAUCAGCCCUUAGACCUUCUGAUGGCUCAAACCUUUUCAUAUUCAAAUGUCCUGACAGAGAGCAGAGAAAUCUCACCUCAGUGAUAAUAAGAUGCUCAGAAUGUGUUUGCUGUAUUUGCAUAAAACAAUAACAUUCUUCCAUUUGGCUACAAGCCUUUGCUGACCCUUUUGUUCUCCAUGCAACCUAAAAGCAAACACAGCCCUGAUCACAAGAUAAAAGCAUUAAGCUAAAAUGCACUGCCAUUCUAAAAACACUCUCCAGAGACCAGAUAUAAUUAUAUUUAAUACAUACUAUUUUUAAUAUAAUAUAAUUACAUUAGGAAUAAACAAUAAUGUACAUUAUAUUAUAAUCGCCAAUCAUGGCACUAAAGACCAAGGGUGAAACAUUCACCUUGAGGAGGUUUGCUUUCUUUAUGCUUAAUGAAAACACUGACAGAACUACUAUAGCAUAACUGAUUGUAAACCAAUAAAAUCCUCGCUGAAAAACACCACCUACAAUUAAAAUUUGAUCAGAGAGUUAAACUCACCAGAAAAAUAAUGAAAGGGGGAUGGAUAUGAUAACAUUCAGAGUUACCAAAGUUUUUAUGGGUCAAAAGAUCUAAGAAUCUGUGAGUCACACCAUAAAAUGACAACCGUUAAGCAGAGAACACCAAAAGGGUGAAAUGAUUUCUGCCAACAAAUCUGACUGUUAAUGAGAGCAAAAAAUGAACUAUGGGUAUCGGCCCAUUAGAUUGUGAACUGAAAUUAAUGAAAAAUCAUUGAUUGAUUCAGAAAAAUGUCCCCAGCGGAACUGGGAGAUAAUGCUCAGAAUACAGCAGACUGUAUAAACAGAUGUACACACUCACAAUAUGCUGAAAUCAACAACAGCAAUUCACAUCUGACCAGCAACAUCAUGUGGCUUCCAGAAUUAAUAUUGCAAGAUGAUGCAUUAACAUUAAUUCCACAUGAUUGAAUUUGAAACUGAUGAAAAUUCUAAAAAUGGUUCUCUCUGCUUUUGUUCUCAUCUUAGGCGGACCAAUAACAAAGAACACUCCAGAUCCGGUCCACAUCAAACAAAUACAAAUGAGGGCAACAAAAGGUUAAGCCAUAACCUGAGAGGCCAAAAGUCUUCCAUCUUGCAUCUCAAAGCAAGAACCCCUGUGGUGCUAACACCUCACCUGCAGUGAGUCCUCUGAAAAAAGUCUUUGAUCAGUCAUCAGAAUAACAAUUAUCCACAGCUGAUCUUAUCAAUGGAUUCAGCAUUGUAGGAGGCUUUGUGAUUUCACAAAACAGAGACAUGAAAGAUCUCAUAGUUAAAAUCUUCCCAAAUUGCUUAAUAGCAAUGGGACUAAAACCCUGGUUACCUAGAGGCGAUAAAGAACUUUACUGCAUUGUUCCUGCAAAGACCAAUAGCAACAGACUCUAUUGUCACGAAUCCUGGUGGCAUUUUUAAAUUUGUUUUUAUACUAUACACAUGUUAAACCACAUGUCCUGUAUGAAAAUGGAAUUAACUAUGUUGAAAUUCAUGAUAUUUGUUUCUUUGAUCUCCAAAAGUAGAAAACUCUGCUAUCCCCUGUAUAGCUGCAGUUUAAACUACAAACAGGAGUAUAGAGUGUGAUAAUUAAAUUAACCAUGAAAAUGCAUUUUUUACAGGAUCCAGCUUUGAACAUUGCACCUUAACAUGCUCCGUAAAAGAUAUUAUAUGGAAUCAAUUUGAGCCGGAACACACCUCAUGUUCACAUUCUUAUGCUGGCUCCCUGCUAAGACAGGACUAAAAUUUUGCAACACAAUUAUAAAAGUUGAUUACCAUUGUUCGGAGCAUUACACUGACACAUAGCCACAGGUAAACCCAGGCACAUAGAUAACACCUUAGUCUUCAAAGACCCAGGAGUCAAAUCUCCUUAAUUGAGAUCGUUUGUCCAUGUUUAUACAAACAAAACACAUUAGCCUCACACACAUAGAACAGAAUAAUUAAUCUGAUGACAGACGAGACAACAAACACCCUCUGACACCCUCUGUCAGCUGAAAAGAAAUUACACAUUUGCAUGGCUUUGACAACAAAUUGAUGGUAUAAAACUUCAAUAAAGGCGAAUUUGCCGAUAAAUUUAAGGAUAGAUACACUGACUGUUAUGAGGAUGGUUGACAAACCAGAGGGCCCCUGGUUUUCCAAUCUAUCACCAAUAACAGGUAUAAGUGCUAAAGUGAUUAAAAUUAAACCGAAGUGAGGACACUUCUAAUAAUCACUAGGACAUUUAAAUUUGACAAAUACCAUCAAUUGUGUUCAAGCCCCCCCACACGCACAUAAACACACACACACACACACACACACACACACACACA